AGUGAACGCUGGCGGCAGGCCUAACACAUGCAAGUCGAACGGCAGCACAGCAGUAGCAAUACUGUGGGUGGCGAGUGGCGGACGGGUGAGGAAUACAUCGAAAUCUACCCUGUCGUGGGGGAUAACGUAGGGAAACUUACGCUAAUACCGCAUACGACCCACGGGUGAAAGCGGCGGACCGCAAGGCGUCGCGCGACUGGAUGAGUCGAUGUCCGAUUAGCUAGUUGGCGGGGUAAGAGCCCACCAAGGCGACGAUCGGUAGCUGGUCUGAGAGGAUGAUCAGCCACACUGGAAUUGAGACACGGUCCAGACUCCUACGGGAGGCAGCAGUGGGGAAUAUUGGACAAUGGGGGCAACCCUGAUCCAGCCAUGCCGCGUGUGUGAAGAAGGCCUUCGGGUUGUAAAGCACUUUUGUCCGGAAAGAAAAGCUCUUGGUUAAUACCCAGGGGUUAUGACGGUACCGGAAGAAUAAGCAUCGGCUAACUUCGUGCCAGCAGCCGCGGUAAGACGAAGGAUGCAAGCGUUAUCCGGAUUCAUUGGGUUUAAAGGGUCCGUAGGCGGUUUAAUAAGUCAGUGGUGAAAGCCCAUCGCUCAACGAUGGAACGGCCAUUGAUACUGUUAAACUUGAAUUAUUAGGAAGUAACUAGAAUAUGUAGUGUAGCGGUGAAAUGCUUAGAGAUUACAUGGAAUACCAAUUGCGAGGGCAGGUUACUACUAAUAUAUUGACGCUGAUGGACGAAAGCGUGGGAGCGAACAGGAUUAGAUACCCUGGUAGUCCACGCCGUAACGAUGGAUACUAGCUGUUCGGAGCA
rnacentral:rRNA from 1 species